AGCAGCCGCGGUAAUUCCAGCUCCAAUAGCGUAUAUUAAAGUUGUUGCAGUUAAAAAGCUCGUAGUUGAAUUUCGGGGUCAGUAGGUCGGUCGUGCCACUGGUAUGAACUGGUUUCACUGAUUCUUCCCUCUUGUAGAACCGUGAUGCCAUUAAUUUGGUGUUGCGGGGAAACAGGACUGUUACUUUGAAAAAAUUAGAGUGUUUAAAGCAAGCUAACGCUUGAAUACAUUAGCAUGGAAUAAUGAAAUAGGACGUCGAUCUUAUUUUGUUGGUUUCUAGGAUGGACGUAAUGAUUAAUAGGGAUAGUUGGGGGCAUUAGUAUUCAAUUGUCAGAGGUGAAAUUCUUGGAUUUAUUGAAGACUAACUACUGCGAAAGCAUUUGCCAAGGAUGUUUUCAUUAAUCAAGAACGAAAGUUAGGGGAUCGAAGACGAUCAGAUACCGUCGUAGUCUUAACCAUAAACUAUGCCGACUAGGGAUCGGAUGAUGUUAAUUUUUUAAUGACUCAUUCGGCGCCUUACG
rnacentral:rRNA from 1 species